GAGGGUAUAGCUCAAGUGGUAGACCGCCUGCUUAGCAUGCAUGAGGCCCUGGGUUCAAUCCCCAGUACCUCCU
rnacentral:tRNA from 1 species